rnacentral:lncRNA from 1 species
AUGUCACACCCCGAGUGCCACACCCCAAUGUCACACCCUGAGUGCCACCCCGAGUGCCACCCCCAGUGCCACCCCGAGUGCCACCCUGAGUGCCACACCCCAAUGUCACACCCCAAUGUCACACCCCAAGUGCCACACCCUGAGUGCCACACCCCUAAUGUCACACCCCAAUGUCACACCCCGAGUGCCACACCCCAAGUGCCACACCCCAAUGUCCCCCCCCCCCCCCGAAUGUCCCCCCGGUGCCACCCCGACUGUCACCCCCUCAUGCCACACCCAAGCCCCUCCCACUUUAGCCCCGCCCCCAGGUCCCGCCCCUCCCUUCACCUGGAAAAGGGGCGGGGCCUGGCUGUAUGGGGCGUGGCUUGUUGCUGGGGGGCGUGGCUAGUGAGCAGAAGGCAUGGCUUAAGCACAGACUGGGCGGAGCCAACGCCAGAAAGGGGCGUGUCUUCCCGCGCUGACCCCGCCCCCUCGCAGGGCUCCAUCAUCAGCAGCCCCCGGCCGCAGGCGCGGGGGGGGCCGGCGGCGACCCCCGAGGGGGGCUACAAACCCCCGGCCCGGCCGGUCUCCAACUCCUCCUCCUUCCUGGGCUCGCUCUUCGGCAGCCGCCGCGGGAAAGGCCCCGCGGGGCCCCCGCCGGGCGCGGGGGGUCCCACCUCGGCUUCAGCCUCCUCAUCCUCGGCGUCUUCCUCGCAUCACCACCACCACCACCACCCCCCGCCCGCCGCGCCCCCCGAGGCUCCCUCCAAGCUGCAGGCGCUGCACGCCCAGUAUUGCCACGGGGGUCCCGGGGGGGGCGCGGCGGGAGCGGGCGGGGGUCCCGGCCCUCCGCCGCCCCCCCCGUACCCGCAGCAGCCGCCCCCUCCCAGCCGCCCCGCGCCCCCCCCGCCGCUACCGGCCAUCGCCGCCGGGGCCCCCCCGCGCUUCCACGGCGGGCCCACCCCCCCGUUAUCUGCGCCCCCACAACAGCACGGCCCCCCCGGCGGGGGGUUCCCCCCCCCGCACCCCCAUUACACCCUGCACCGGCCCGGGAAAAGGGGGGGGGCUCCGCCCGGCGCCCCCCGGCAGCCGCUGUCCCCCCUGCCCCUCUACAGCCCCGCCCCAGCCCACCACGGGCUGUCCCACGCGUACCCCCCCGGACCCCCCCCCACCACCACCCCCCGCCGCCCCCCGCCCCCGCCAAGCAUUUUGUCUUUGGGGGGGGGGGCGGCGGAGUGGGGGUCGCGGCCGGGGGGGCUUUGGGGGGGGCGGGGGAGGAGGAGGAGGAGGAGGGGAGGAGGAGGAGGUGGAGCGGCGCCCCCUCCCCAUCACCACCAUCACCACCAUCACCACCACCACGCGCCCCCCCACUCGCCCAUCCCCCCCCCCCCUUCCUACCCCCCCCUGCCCCCCCCAUCGCCCCACACCCCCCUGAGCCCCCACUCGCCCGCCGGCCCCACAUCGCCCCUGGCCCAGGCCGGCCAGGGCCCCCCCAAACCCAAAGGGGGGAACCGCAUCAGCACGGUGGUCUGA